UACGUAGGUGGCAAGCGUUGUCCGGAUUUAUUGGGUUUAAAGGGUGCGUAGGCGGCCCUGUAAGUCAGUGCUGAAAUAUCCCGGCUUAACCGGGAGGGUGGCAUUGAUACUGCGGGGCUAGAGUACAGAUGAGGUAGGCGGAAUUGACGGUGUAGCGGUGAAAUGCUUAGAUAUCGUCAAGAACACCUAUAGCGAAGGCAGCUUACUAGGCUGUAACUGACGCUGAGGCACGAAAAGUGUGGGGAUCAAACAGG
rnacentral:rRNA from 1 species